AUUGAACGCUGGCGGCAGGCCUAACACAUGCAAGUCGAACGGUAACAGGAAACAGCUUGCUGUUUCGCUGACGAGUGGGGGACGGGUGAGUAAUGUCUGGGAAACUGCCUGAUGGAGGGGGAUAACUACUGGAAACGGUAGCUAAUACCGCAUAACGUCGCAAGACCAAAGAGGGGGACCUUCGGGCCUCUUGCCAUCGGCUGUGCCCAGAUGGGAUUAGCUAGUAGGUGGGGUAACGGCUCACCUAGGCGACGAUCCCUAGCUGGUCUGAGAGGAUGACCAGCCACACUGGAACUGAGACACGGUCCAGACUCCUACGGGAGGCAGCAGUGGGGAAUAUUGCACAAUGGGCGCAAGCCUGAUGCAGCCAUGCCGCGUGUAUGAAGAAGGCCUUCGGGUUGUAAAGUACUUUCAGCGGGGAGGAAGGGAGUUAUGUUAAUACCUUUACUCAUUGACGUUACCCGCAGAAGAAGCACCGGCUAACUCCGUG
rnacentral:rRNA from 1 species